CACCACUAAGCCAGUGGUGAACUCCACAUACGCAUCCUUUGCUGAGGAUACGGUUAACGGAGCGAAAGCGACGUUCAACCUCAAAAGAAGCAGAGGGGGCUUAGUGGUGGGGUGACUGCGUACCUUUUGUAUAAUGGGUCAGCGACUUAUAUUCUGUAGCAAGGUUAACCGUAUAGGGGAGCCGGAGGGAAACCGAGUCUUAAUUGGGCGUUAAGUUGCAGGGUAUAGACCCGAAACCCGGUGAUCUAGCCAUGGGCAGGUUGAAGGUUGGGUAACACUAACUGGAGGACCGAACCGACUAAUGUUGAAAAAUUAGCGGAUGACCUGUGGCUGGGGGUGAAAGGCCAAUCAAACCGGGAGAUAGCUGGUUCUCCCCGAAAGCUAUUUAGGUAGCGCCUCGUGAAUUCAUCUUCGGGGGUAGAGCACUGUUUCGGCUAGGGGGUCAUCCCGACUUACCAACCCGAUGCAAACUGCGAAUACCGGAGAAUGUUAUCACGGGAGACACACGGCGGGUGCUAACGUCCGUCGUGAAGAGGGAAACAACCCAGACCGCCAGCUAAGGUCCCAAAGUCAUGGUUAAGUGGGAAACGAUGUGGGAAGGCCCAGACAGCCAGGAUGUUGGCUUAGAAGCAGCCAUCAUUUAAAGAAAGCGUAAUAGCUCACUGGUCGAGUCGGCCUGCGCGGAAGAUGUAACGGGGCUAAACCAUGCACCGAAGCUGCGGCAGCGAACGUAUCACUUAAAGCGAUUCAGCGGGUUACGAUUGACGGAGCGAAGCGACGUCAAAGCGUAUACAAAGUCGAGUCGGUUUAAGGAUACGUUCGUUGGGUAGGGGAGCGUUCUGUAAGCCUGUGAAGGUGUGUCGUGAGGCAUGCUGGAGGUAUCAGAAGUGCGAAUGCUGACAUAAGUAACGAUAAAGCGGGUGAAAAGCCCGCUCGCCGGAAGACCAAGGGUUCCUGUCCAACGUUAAUCGGGGCAGGGUGAGUCGACCCCUAAGGCGAGGCCGAAAGGCGUAGUCGAUGGGAAACGGGUUAAUAUUCCCGUACUUGGUGUUACUGCGAAGGGGGGACGGAGAAGGCUAUGUUGGCCGGGCGACGGUUGUCCCGGUUUAAGCGUGUAGGUGUGUGUUCCAGGUAAAUCCGGUUCACUUUAACACUGAGGCGUGAUGACGAGGCACUACGGUGCUGAAGCAACAAAUGCCCUGCUUCCAGGAAAAGCCUCUAAGCAUCAGGUAACAUCAAAUCGUACCCCAAACCGACACAGGUGGUCAGGUAGAGAAUACCAAGGCGCUUGAGAGAACUCGGGUGAAGGAACUAGGCAAAAUGGUGCCGUAACUUCGGGAGAAGGCACGCUGACACGUAGGUGAAGUGAUUUACUCACGGAGCUGAAGUCAGUCGAAGA
rnacentral:rRNA from 1 species